GCCGCCAUCGUCUAGUGGUCCAGGACGUCACGUUCUCAACGUGAAGAUCGCGGGUUCGACUCCCGCUGGCGGUACGA
rnacentral:tRNA from 1 species